AGACAUCAUGCAGCUCUGACUGGCCUGGAACUCUGUCUGUAGACCAGACGGGUCUCAAAUUCACAGCCACACACCUGCCUUUGCCUCCUCAAUGCUGGUCUCUUUCACAACGAUUAUUUUUUCAUAGUUUUUGCUGCUGGAAUCCAACACACCACCUUGAGCAUGCUAGGGUGGACUUCCUUGAGCUGUUGGUCACAAGAAUACAGGCAACUGCCACUGAUGUUGGUUGCCCACCGGAGCUGGAAGGUGGCUGAUGAUUUCAUACGCCUUGUUCGCCAGACAUACAGAAACUCAAGUGGAACUGAGCUGGAGGCUUCAUCUCUGCUGGCUCACGUUUCCAGUGGGAGCUAUGCAGGCUGCAGCGGGAGAACUGUCAGCCACAGUCUCACUCAGCAGUGAAUUCUGGGUGCAAACACUACAGACCAGCCAGAGAUGUGCCUACUUGUACAGCAGGGGCAAGUCUAUUAUGGGGGACAACCCACUGUUUUCUGACUGGAUUUGAGGCCUGCUCAACACGAGGCAAUUCCUGUCUGACACUGUACUCUGGUCAAAAGCCCAUGGCUGGGGAAGUCAUAGGCCCUAAUGGGGAAGCCACUGAUGUGUUGCCAACUGAACACGAUGUCCUAUCAAAUUGCCUUCUAAUCAACCACAUUUAUUCCUACAAACUAAUGCUAUAUCAGCUUUGGUUAAAAAUAAAAUGCUCUUCGUGGUAGGAGUGAUGAUUUGAAUAUGCUUGGCC
rnacentral:lncRNA from 1 species